GUGGAAUUUAAUACAUAACUUAAAUUGUAUUAAAUAUUUGUAUUAAAUAUUGUAUUAAAUAUUUACAGAAGAAACCUAGGAAUUUUUUACUCAUAAUAGUUCAAAUAUAGCAUCAAAGCACCAGUGAACAAACUGUCCAUUGAAAGUUUGGAGCGGAAAUGAAAACACUAGGGCGCAGAGUCCCUGGUAAUUGACUGCCUGAACGGACAACUACAAGGAGUGUAUUUUAAAAGGAAAAAGAACAUCUUAACAGCAUCCUCUGAAAGGUAACAGAAGUCAAGGUUACUGACUCGGGAAACUGAAAGGAAAAAACCUAAGGGAAAAUUGGUUUGUUCCAACUACAUCCUUACUCCUUCCAGAAUCCUUUUGCAAUAGGAACAAAUUUAUUCUUGGGUACUAUAGAGUCUAACAGCUGGAAGGAAAUUUACAGAGUGGAAUUUUCUGUAUGGAAUCUAAACCAUCUAAGUCAAGGCAGCUUUGGAAACUGAAGUCCCACACUUUUCCCUCAAAGCUUAGCCUGUUUUAGUGUUUAUUCCCAAUCACAGUCUGCCUUAUGACGCUGUAAUUCUGUUUACCACGGCCCAGCCCUGCAGACGUAGAGAACGCCUUUGUCACAGUCGACAUUUAUAUAUUGAAAAUACUGAUUAAACAGUAUUCUCUUCUUCAAAUGACGUUAUCCCAAAGAAUUAAAUCAUUUUUCCUGGUUGAUUUUAUUUUAUACCCUUUUGAUCAUUUUCCCGAUCCUUUCCCCUACAUCAUCUACCAUUUCUCUGCAGCCUCUUCGAGUCAUCAAAACUGGGCUCCAGUGUCCCACUAAAUGUGGAACUUCCUGGGGCAGAGUGAUUAAUUACCCUCUGCGCCUGCUGGCCAUGUAGCUGUGGGCUUUCAAGUAGAGACCCCAGCCAGCAGCCUGAGCGUCUCCUGGGAACCUGUUGAAAAUGCAGAGUCUCAGGCCUCACUCCACACCUACUGACUCAGACACUUGGGGCAUGAGACCCUGCAGUCCCACCUUUAACAAGCCGACCGCCCCUGCCCCCAGCUGAUGCACACGACUUAACUGAAAACACUAGCUUUGCAGUCCAGGUGCUACUCUAGGAACCCAGGGGCCUCCCUCCCUCUGGAUGUCCUCCCCCACGCCCAGGGGCUUCCUCUCUGCCCUACCACCCACUUCUCCCCCAGCAGCCCCCAGCAAACUUGGCCUUGUAAACAUGCACCAUGCAGGCUUGGUGCAUGCGUGACAAGUCACUUUAGUCGUGUCUGACUCUGUGACCCCAUGGACUGCAGCCCGCCAGGCUCUUCUGUCCAUGGGAUUCUCCAGGCAAGAAUACUGGAGUGGGUUGCCAUUUCCUUCUCCAGGGAGUCUUCCCGACCCAGGGAUCGAACCUGCGUCUCCUGCUUUGCAGGCAGACUCUACCAGUGAAACACCUGGGAAGACCAAAGGAGCUCCUUUGGUCAAGUUUAAAAAGAAAAAAAUAAAAAAAAAAAAACCUGCCACUCCUGGAACAGGUGACAAACGCUGAGGAAUCUCACACAGUUCAGAAAUAAGCUUCAGAAAAGCUUAUUUCACUGUACGCAGCCCUUCUGUUUGUGUUAAGAUGGCUUCUUCCAUCUCUCAGACUAGGCUUCUCCUCUAGUUACCAGCAGACUCCUACUCAUUUUCUCCAGGAAGCCCCCUGGGUUGCAGAGGUUUGGGAAAGAAAACCACUCAGGGUGCCUGCCUCUACCUGCAGACCUGCCAGUGUGACAGGGCCUGAGUCAACAGCGCCAUCAUAGAUGUCGUUUCUAUUGGAGUAAAAAUAGGUGUAUGAUUGUAAGAGGGAAAGAUGUCAAUCAAUGGUUAUAUAGUCUUCCUGAAUAAAAUGAUUGGGAACACGGGCUCUGAAUACACGCCACCUGGGUUCACGUCACUUCUGAUUACUGGCUUUGGGGUGUGUUGCUUAACCUCCCUGAACCUCCAUCUCCUGGUUUUAUGAAAUGAGCAUGACCCAAGGACCCACCAUGCCGUGCUGCAGGAGAUGGGACCCUGGAAGGGUCUAGCAUACAGCACUUUGCACAGACCUACUUGGGUGUUACUUUGCCUUAGUGUUUUUAUUAGCAUUGCUGCUAAUAAAAUGAGACUCACUCAUUUUUCAUCCCUUGAAGGUAGUAUUUGAAAACUAGCCUUAAAGCGGGGGUCGGGGAGGGGGUGCUGUUUGCAUCGGCAGAUUCAGAGCCAGGCCUAUAAGCCUCCUUCUUCCGUGGCCCCUGGUGCUCUGCUCUGCACGUCUGGGAGUUCAACACGCUUCUGAGCUCAAAUUGUCUGAUGAUUUACUGGCUUAAUAAGCAACAUUGCAUUUCAGAAGUCAUUGCAUUUUCAACACAGGUUAUAUGAUGUUUGCACGCCCCAGAUAUGAGCACAAAACAACUGGGCAAUGCGAUGCUUUGUCACAGCAGGGCUGGCAAGCUCAGAAGAAGGAUUUGCAAAUUGGAAAUUGCAGAAAUACAGGUUUUGAAACAGUUUGAAAAACAGUUGAGGAUAUAUAAAAUCAAGCUUAAUUUUUCUGCAUGAAGAAUGACAUAAAAUGGGAUAGGACAAAGCUGAAGCCUUCAACACAUACUCAGUUUUUCCAAACAUGUUUUUAUAUACUUUUAAAAGCAUACAAUUCAGUCAUUAGUGAGUUAUUCUUAAUGUCAAUGUUUAAUGUCAGUGGUACAUAUUUUGGAUUGUAUAAUUUUGCUUGGUAAAUAUGUAGUAUGGAACUAUCAAAUCUAAACAGUUACUAUUAAAAGCUGUGUCAAUGGUUACUUAAGAAAAGUAAAAUAAAAU
ensembl:lncRNA